rnacentral:rRNA from 1 species
UACGAAGGGGGCUAGCGUUGUUCGGAAUUACUGGGCGUAAAGCGCACGUAGGCGGGUUUGUAAGUAGAGGGUGAAAUCCCAGGGCUCAACCCUGGAACUGCCUUCUAAACUGCGAGCCUGGAGGUCAGGAGAGGCGAGUGGAAUACCGAGUGUAGAGGUGAAAUUCGUAGAUAUUCGGUGGAACACCAGUGGCGAAGGCGACUCGCUGGACUGAUACUGACGCUGAGGUGCGAAAGCGUGGGGAGCAAACAGG